ACAUCCAGAGAAUUUAGCAGAGAUGCUUUAGUGCCUUCGGGAACUCUGAGACAGGUGCUGCAUGGCUGUCGUCAGCUCGUGUUGUGAAAUGUUGGGUUAAGUCCCGCAACGAGCGCAACCCUUAUCCUUUGUUGCCAGCACGUAAUGGUGGGAACUCAAAGGAGACUGCCGGUGAUAAACCGGAGGAAGGUGGGGAUGACGUCAAGUCAUCAUGGCCCUUACGAGUAGGGCUACACACGUGCUACAAUGGCGCAUCAAAGAGAAGCGACCUCGCGAGAGCAAGCGGACCUCAUAAAGUGCGUCGUAGUCCGGAUUGGAGUCUGCAACUCGACUCCAUGAAGUCGGAAUCGCUAGUAAUCGUAAAUCAGAAUGUUACGGUGAAUACGUUCCCGGGCCUUGUACACACCGCCCGUCACACCAUGGGAGUGGGUUGCAAAAGAAGUAGAUAGCUUAACCUUCGGGAGGGCGUUUACCACUUUGUGAUUCAUGACUGGGGUGAAGUCGUAACAAGGUAAGCGUAGUGCU
rnacentral:rRNA from 1 species